GGCAUUGUCACUGCUGUGGCACGAAUUUGAUCCCUGGCCCAGGAACCUCCUCAUGCCCCAGGCACAGCCAAAAAACAAAAGAUGAACGUAAAUAAAAAAUCUUGUUAAUAAAUUUUAUGAAGUGCCUAAUGUCAACAAAAUAUUAGUAAAAUAAAUACAGGCAAUAUAACAUUAAAUAAUAUUCAGAUGUAAGUAAAUCUUAUUUCCAAAGGCCAUCUUCAUAUUGUCUCAAGAUUCAGCUGCUCGGGUUUAGUAGCUGUACAUUUUAUGAGCUCUGAUUGGUAGUACUUAGAUAUAACAAUAAAAAUAGUAAUUUCAUUCAUAGAUAAAAGAAGGAUCAUUCAUCUAUUCGCUGUGAAACUAUUCAGCCCUAACAUAUGCCAGCAGCAACAUAUUAGGUAUUUAAUCAGGAAAGACAAGAGUUGGAUUUACAAAAAAGACAUAUAAAGUCUCUUUCUUGGAGAAGUUAGGACAAAUUCAACAUUGAUUAAACAUCAUGGAUAAAUGCCAGGUAAUAUGAGAAGUAAUCACACACACACACACACACACACACACACACACACACACAUACACACAAACAAUAACCACUGAAUAAGAACAUAUUUUAUCUCUGGAACUCUGCUAGAUGCUUUAUCUAUAUGAUGUCAUUUAAUCCUCGGAGACCCUGUAAGGUAAGGGUUCUCUCCGUUUUAGUUACAAGGAAAUUAAGGCACAAAGAAGUGAAUGAAGUAAGUAGCCUGGUGUUACGCAGGUCUGCUGAUCCUGGACUUAAUCCCUAAUCUUCCAGGUUUCAAAGUCCACACAGGUUCUCCCUGGGCUACGGUUCGCUCCCCAGCGCAGGGUAGCACAUCAGUAAAAUGCCGCACCCAAAACGAAGCACCUUCCAGAUGGCAAUUUAGGAUUAAGCUUUUCUUUGUUUCCAGGCUGUUCUUUGUUUCUGUCACUUCUGAAAGAGGGGAUAUGUGAACUUCACUUGAAGGAAAAUUAGGGAUGCGGAAUGGAGCUGAUGGUAAAGAAGAAAGACAUUCCCAGAGAAGAUGAGGAAGGAGCAAUGCGAGAAGUGAGACAUUAAAACAGGGCCUGACGUUAGUGUCAGUACCUGGAGCAAUGGAUCAAGAUUGGAGGGAUGCUUGGAGCAAGUAAGGAGCGACCGCCUGGUGGAAGAGGUCGGCGCGCCAACUGUCCUGGAAAUAAAGGACGUGGGGGUGGAGGCAGGGGACAGAUCUUGUCGUACAGGAAGUACGCGAGGCAACGACCUCAGGGUCAGGGUCAGGAAUCAGAGAUGAAGCAUCGGUGAUGGAGGACUGUCCUGGGCCAGAAUCAAGGACAUGGAUGCGAGUCACUCGAUUUUCACAGACCAAAGCAUAUCCUAAGAGACACUUCAGUCGAUUUCAGGAGUUUGAGCCUAAAGGAGUGCUUUCUUCAAGGAUUUUAUUAGAAAUGCUAUUUCAACCUUGAAUCAUGACCUUCCAAGGAAGAUGAAUACUUUUGUCUCCUUCCUCCUCCUUUCUCCUUCUGCCAAUUGGAACGUGGAUAUAGUGGUGAUUACCAUGGAUGAAAGCAAGAGCUAAGGAUGGCAGAGCAAUAAGAUAGAGGAAGUCUUGUUCCUGACACUGUCGAGCCUUCAUAUCAGCCCUGGGAUUCUUCAAUCUAGUUUGUUACAUCAGAGAGAGGUAAAGUUCCACCAUGUUUAAAUAAGUUUUAUUUUGCCUUUAGUCCAACAACUGAAUCUAAACUCUAAUUUGAUUGGUCCAUCAAGUCUUCUUCAGUGAUAUCAUUUUGUAUUCUGCCAUUCCUAAAGUAGUGGCAACGAGAUAGGAUGAAUCCCCUUCUUUGGAAACAAAUAAUUUGAAUAAUUUCAAGGAAUAUUUUUGAUCAGUUGGUUUAAUUUAAAUAACUAUUUAUUAUGAGUUGGGGAUAAACCUAUGAUCAACAAAAAUAUUAUUUUAUCAGCAGAGACAAUCAACUAGUUUGAAUGAGAACCAACUAUUGUUACACUAGGUCACAAGGGGUACAGGUUACUUCAUGUUUAUAAAAGGCUCUGAGCGUCAAAUACAUAAAAACACAAGGUAUCUUAAUGCAUGUACUUUGUGACAAAGGUUGUAAAAUCAAAGAUGACUAUAGCAAUUAUGCAGAAAAAAUUCAUCUAGAAACAAAGGAAAAGCAUAUAUGUUAGAGGAAAUAGAAGUGUGUCUACAAAUUACCUCUACCUAUCUCAAAGUCACAUAUUAUUAUGUGGAAGCAUUACAGACUCAAACUUCAUGGAAUAGGGUAUUUGAAUACAGAACAUCUUAUUAAACAUCAGUUUGCAAGAAUAACAGACUUUUGAAAAAAUAAUGUUUAUGUUUAUUGCCCUAAUUCUGGGACAUGUAUCAAUCUAGAGAGAGAGAGAGA